rnacentral:lncRNA from 1 species
CGGAAGCACCUCCUUGUCAUUGGAAAUGCCCCCAAGCCUUGUCUUUAUCUGUCAACUCCUCCAAAAUGUAAAAACACAAACAAGAUAACUCUUUCUUAAAUUUUCAACCAUCAAUUUUUUAUUCACCCAGCCUAAAAGUCCUGAUUAUCAGUUCUGGGUCCCUGGCAAUGACUGUUGGGUACAAACUGCAAAGCUUUGUUCGUCAGGUAGGGCUGGGCUUUUCAUUGACCAUGGGUUGGAAUAGUUCUGUGGGCAUAGUGUGUCUUCGAAGCCACUAUGUUUUCUGCACUUGUGACUAGAGAGCACCUUGAUAGCUCAGUUGGUAGAGCGGUGGACUGUAAGAUGCUCCUUGUGUGAAACGCUGUGAUCCUAAGGUCGCUGGUUCAACUCCAGCCGGAAGCACCUCCUUGUCAUUAGAAAUACCCCCUAGCUUUGUCUUUAUCUGUCAACUCCUCCAAAAUGUAAAAACACAAACAAGAUAACUCUUUCUUAAAUUUUCAACCAUCAAUUUUUUAUUCACCCAGCCUAAAAGUCCUGAUUAUCAGUUCUGGGUCCCUGGCAAUGACUGUUGGGUACAAACUGCAAAGCUUUGUUCGUCAGGUAGGGCUGGGCUUUUCAUUGACCAUGGGUUGGAAUAGUUCUGUGGGCAUAGUUUGUAUUCGAAGCCACUAUGUUUUCUGCACUUGUGACUAGAGAGCACCUUGAUAGCUCAGUUGGUAGAGCAGUGGACUGUGAGAUGCUCCUUGUGUGAAACGCUGUGAUCCUAAGGUCGCUGGUUCAACUCCAGCCGGAAGCACCUCCUUGUCAUUGGAAAUACCCCCAAGCCUUGUCUUUAUCUGUCAACUCCUCCAAAAUGUAAAAACACAAACAAGAUAACUCUUUCUUAAAUUUUCAACCAUCAAUUUUUUAUUCACCCAGCCUAAAAGUCCUGAUUAUCAGUUCUGGGUCCCUGGCAAUGACUGUUGGGUACAAACUGCAAAGCUUUGUUCGUCAGGUAGGGCUGGGCUUUUCAUUGACCAUGGGUUGGAAUAGUUCUGUGGGCAUAGUGUGUCUUCGAAGCCACUAUGUUUUCUGCACUUGUGACUAGAGAGCACCUUGAUAGCUCAGUUGGUAGAGCGGUGGACUGUAAGAUGCUCCUUGUGUGAAACGCUGUGAUCCUAAGGUCGCUGGUUCAACUCCAGCCGGAAGCACCUCCUUGUCAUUGGAAAUACCCCCAAGCCUUGUCUUUAUCUGUCAACUCCUCCAAAAUGUAAAAACACAAACAAGAUAACUCUUUCUUAAAUUUUCAACCAUCAAUUUUUUAUUUACCCAGCCUAAAAGUCCUGAUUAUCAGUUCUGGGUCCCUGGCAAUGACUGUUGGGUACAAACUGCAAAGCUUUGUUCGUCAGGUAGGGCUGGGCUUUUCAUUGACCAUGGGUUGGAAUAGUUCUGUGGGCAUAGUGUGUCUUCGAAGCCACAAUGUUUUCUGCACUUGUGACUAGAGAGCACCUUGAUAGCUCAGUUGGUAGAGCGGUGGACUGUAAGAUGCUCCUUGUGUGAAACGCUGUGAUCCUAAGGUCGCUGGUUCAACUCCAGCCGUAAGCACCUCCUUGUCAUUGGAAAUACCCCCAAGCCUUGUCUUUAUCUGUCAGCUCCUCCAAAAUGUAAAAACACAAACAAGAUAACUCUUUCUUAAAUUUUCAACCAUCAAUUUUUUAUUCACCCAGCCUAAAAGUCCUGAUUAUCAGUUCUGGGUCCCUGGCAAUGACUGUUGGGUACAAACUGCAAAGCUUUGUUCGUCAGGUAGGGCUGGGCUUUUCAUUGACCAUGGGUUGGAAUAGUUCUGUGGGCAUAGUGUGUCUUCGAAGCCACUAUGUUUUCUGCACUUGUGACUAGAGAGCACCUUGAUAGCUCAGUUGGUAGAGCGGUCGACUGUAAGAUGCUCCUUGUGUGAAACGCUGUGAUCCUAAGGUCGCUGGUUCAACUCCAGCCGGAAGCACCUCCUUGUCAUUGGAAAUACCCCCAAGCCUUGUCUUUAUCUGUCAACUCCUCCAAAAUGUAAAAACACAAACAAGAUAACUCUUUCUUAAAUUUUCAACCAUCAAUUUUUUAUUCACCCAGCCUAAAAGUCCUGAUUAUCAGUUCUGGGUCCCUGGCAAUGACUGUUGGGUACAAACUGCAAAGCUUUGUUCGUCAGGUAGGGCUGGGCUUUUCAUUGACCAUGGGUUGGAAUAGUUCUGUGGGCAUAGUGUGUCUUCGAAGCCACUAUGUUUUCUGCACUUGUGACUAGAGAGCACCUUGAUAGCUCAGUUGGUAGAGCGGUGGACUGUAAGAUGCUCCUUGUGUGAAACGCUGUGAUCCUAAGGUCGCUGGUUCAACUCCAGCCGGAAGCACCUCCUUGUCAUUGGAAAUACCCCCAAGCCUUGUCUUUAUCUCUCAACUCCUCCAAAAUGUAAAAACACAAACAAGAUAACUCUUUCUUAAAUUUUCAACCAUCAAUUUUUUAUUCACCCAGCCUAAAAGUCCUGAUUAUCAGUUCUGGGUCCCUGGCAAUGACUGUUGGGUACAAACUGCAAAGCUUUGUUCGUCAGGUAGGGCUGGGCUUUUCAUUGACCAUGGGUUGGAAUAGUUCUGUGGGCAUAGUGUGUCUUCGAAGCCACUAUGUUUUCUGCACUUGUGACUAGAGAGCACCUUGAUAGCUCAGUUGGUAGAGCGGUGGACUGUAAGAUGCUCCUUGUGUGAAACGCUGUGAUCCUAAGGUCGCUGGUUCAACUCCAGCCGGAAGCACCUCCUUGUCAUUGGAAAUACCCCCAAGCCUUGUCUUUAUCUGUCAACUCCUCCAAAAUGUAAAAACACAAACAAGAUAACUCUUUCUUAAAUUUUCAACCAUCAAUUUUUUAUUCACCCAGCCUAAAAGUCCUGAUUAUCAGUUCUGGGUCCCUGGCAAUGACUGUUGGGUACAAACUGCAAAGCUUUGUUCGUCAGGUAGGGCUGGGCUUUUCAUUGACCAUGGGUUGGAAUAGUUCUGUGGGCAUAGUGUGUCUUCGAAGCCACUAUGUUUUCUGCACUUGUGACUAGAGAGCACCUUGAUAGCUCAGUUGGUAGAGCGGUGGACUGUAAGAUGCUCCUUGUGUGAAACGCUGUGAUCCUAAGGUCGCUGGUUCAACUCCAGCCGGAAGCACCUCCUUGUCAUUGGAAAUACCCCCAAGCCUUGUCUUUAUCUGUCAACUCCUCCAAAAUGUAAAAACACAAACAAGAUAACUCUUUCUUAAAUUUUCAACCAUCAAUUUUUUAUUCACCCAGCCUAAAAGUCCUGAUUAUCAGUUCUGGGUCCCUGGCAAUGACUGUUGGGUACAAACUGCAAAGCUUUGUUCGUCAGGUAGGGCUGGGCUUUUCAUUGACCAUGGGUUGGAAUAGUUCUGUGGGCAUAGUGUGUCUUCGAAGCCACUAUGUUUUCUGCA